rnacentral:tRNA from 1 species
CAAGAUAUGGCUCAGUGGUAGAGUGCGUACCUAGCAUACGUGAGGGCCUGGGUUCAAUCCCCAGUACCUCCA